CUUUGGGCCAACCUCCCAUCCGUGUCUAUUGUACCCUGUUGCUUCGGCGGGCCCGCCGCUUGUCGGCCGCCGGGGGGGCGCCUCUGCCCCCCGGGCCCGUGCCCGCCGGAGACCCCAACACGAACACUGUCUGAAAGCGUGCAGUCUGAGUUGAUUGAAUGCAAUCAGUUAAAACUUUCAACAAUGGAUCUCUUGGUUCCGGCAUCGAUGAAGAACGCAGCGAAAUGCGAUAACUAAUGUGAAUUGCAGAAUUCAGUGAAUCAUCGAGUCUUUGAACGCACAUUGCGCCCCCUGGUAUUCCGGGGGGCAUGCCUGUCCGAGCGUCAUUGCUGCCCUCAAGCCCGGCUUGUGUGUUGGGUCGCCGUCCCCCUCUCCGGGGGGACGGGCCCGAAAGGCAGCGGCGGCACCGCGUCCGAUCCUCGAGCGUAUGGGGCUUUGUCACAUGCUCUGUAGGAUUGGCCGGCGCCUGCCGACGUUUUCCAACCAUUCUUUCCAGGUUGACCUCGGAUCAGGUAGGGAUACCCGCUGAACUUAAGCAUAUCA
rnacentral:rRNA from 1 species